rnacentral:rRNA from 1 species
AGACCCGAAACCCGGUGAUCUAGCCAUGGGCAGGUUGAAGGUUGGGUAACACUAACUGGAGGACCGAACCGACUAAUGUUGAAAAAUUAGCGGAUGACCUGUGGCUGGGGGUGAAAGGCCAAUCAAACCGGGAGAUAGCUGGUUCUCCCCGAAAGCUAUUUAGGUAGCGCCUCGUGAAUUCAUCUCCGGGGGUAGAGCACUGUUUCGGCUAGGGGGCCAUCCCGGCUUACCAACCCGAUGCAAACUGCGAAUACCGGAGAAUGUUAUCACGGGAGACACACGGCGGGUGCUAACGUCCGUCGUGAAGAGGGAAACAACCCAGACCGCCAGCUAAGGUCCCAAAGUCAUGGUUAAGUGGGAAACGAUGUGGGAAGGCCCAGACAGCCAGGAUGUUGGCUUAGAAGCAGCCAUCAUUUAAAGAAAGCGUAAUAGCUCACUGGUCGAGUCGGCCUGCGCGGAAGAUGUAACGGGGCUAAACCAUGCACCGAAGCUGCGGCAGCGACACUCAGGUGUUGUUGGGUAGGGGAGCGUUCUGUAAGCCUGUGAAGGUGGCCUGUGAGGGUUGCUGGAGGUAUCAG